rnacentral:rRNA from 1 species
GACGAACGCUGGCGGCGUGCCUAAUACAUGCAAGUAGAACGCUGAAGGAGGGGCUUGCUUCUCUGGAUGAGUUGCGAACGGGUGAGUAACGCGUAGGUAACCUGCCUGGUAGCGGGGGAUAACUAUUGGAAACGAUAGCUAAUACCGCAUAAUAUUGAUUAUUGCAUGAUAGUCAAUUAAAAGGUGCAAUUGCAUCACUACCAGAUGGACCUGCGUUGUAUUAGCUAGUUGGUGAGGUAACGGCUCACCAAGGCGACGAUACAUAGCCGACCUGAGAGGGUGAUCGGCCACACUGGGACUGAGACGCGGCCCAGACUCCUACGGGAGGCAGCAGUAGGGAAUCUUCGGCAAUGGACGGAAGUCUGACCGAGCAACGCCGCGUGAGUGAAGAAGGUUUUCGGAUCGUAAAGCUCUGUUGUAAGAGAAGAACGAGUGUGAGAGUGGAAAAGUUCACACUGUGAC